ACGGGAGGCAGCAGUGGGGAAUAUUGCACAAUGGGGGAAACCCUGAUGCAGCGACGCCGCGUGAAGGAUGAAGUAUUUCGGUAUGUAAACUUCUAUCAGCAGGGAAGAAAAUGACGGUACCUGACUAAGAAGCCCCGGCUAACUACGUGCCAGCAGCCGCGGUAAUACGUAGGGGGCAAGCGUUAUCCGGAUUUACUGGGUGUAAAGGGAGCGUAGACGGCUGUGCAAGUUUGAAGUGAAAGCCCGGGGCUCAACCGCGGGACUGCUUUGAAAACUGUGCAGCUAGAGUGUCGGAGAGGUAAGUGGAAUUCCUAGUGUAGCGGUGAAAUGCGUAGAUAUUAGGAGGAACACCAGUGGCGAAGGCGGCUUACUGGACGAUAACUGACGUUGAGGCUCGAAAGCGUGGGGAGCAAACAGGAUUAGAUACCCUGGUA
rnacentral:rRNA from 1 species